GAGCUAGCUUCAGGAGCACAUAUACUAAAAUUGGAAUGAUACAGAGAACAUAGGUAUGGCCCUUGUGCAAGGAUGACAUGCAAAUUCGUGAAGCAUUUCAUAUUUUA